rnacentral:rRNA from 1 species
GUGAACGAGCGACGCCGCGUGCGGGAUGAAGGGCUUCGGCUUGUAAACCGCUUUUGUUUGGGAAGAAGGCCUAUAUCGUGAAUAUGGGAUUGACGGUACCAGACGAAUAAGCCCCGGCUAACUCCGUGCCAGCAGCCGCGGUAAGACGGAGGGGGCAAGCGUUGUUCGGAAUUAUUGGGCGUAAAGGGCUCGUAGGCGGUCGGGUAAGUCUGACGUGAAAUCUUCAAGCUCAACUUGGAAACUGCGUCGGAUACUAUUCGGCUAGAGGAAUGGAGGGGAGACUGGAAUACUUGGUGUAGCAGUGAAAUGCGUAGAUAUCAAGUGGAACACCAGUGGCGAAAGCGGCUCUCUGGUCUGCUACUGACGCUGAGGCGCGAAAGCUAGGGGAGCAAACGGGAUUAGAUACCCCGGUAGUCCUAGCCCUAAACGAU